AGAAUCAACGCUGGCGGCGUGCCUAACACAUGCAAGUCGAACGAGAAAGGGGAGCAAUCCCUGAGUAAAGUGGCGACCGGGUGAGUAACACGUGACUAACCUACCUUCGAGUGGGGGAUAACCUCGGGAAACCGAGGCUAAUACCGCAUAACAUCGUGAGAUCAAAGCAGUAAUGCGCUGGAAGAGGGGGUCGCGGCUGAUUAGCUAGUUGGCGGGGUAAUGGCCCACCAAGGCGAAGAUCGGUAGCCGGCCUGAGAGGGCGCACGGCCACACUGGAACUGAAACACGGUCCAGACUCCUACGGGAGGCAGCAGUGGGGAAUUUUGCGCAAUGGGGGAAACCCUGACGCAGCAACGCCGCGUGGAGGAUGAAGUCCCUUGGGACGUAAACUCCUUUCGACCAAGACGAUAAUGACGGUACUGGUGGAAGAAGCACCGGCUAACUCUAGCGCCAGCAGCCGC
rnacentral:rRNA from 1 species